GGCUGGUCCAAGGGCAGUGGUGUUUACAACUAACUGAUCACAGCCAGUUACAGAUUUCUUUGUUCCUUUUCCACUCCCACUGCUUCAUUUGAACAAACAAAC
ensembl:misc_RNA Y_RNA Y RNA